rnacentral:rRNA from 1 species
UACGUAGGGGGCAAGCGUUGUCCGGAAUCACUGGGUUUAAAGGGUGCGUAGGUGGGCUGGUAAGUCAGUGGUGAAAUCUCCAGGCUUAACUUGGAAACUGCCAUUGAUACUAUCAGUCUUGAAUACCGUGGAGGUCAGCGGAAUAUGUCAUGUAGCGGUGAAAUGCUUAGAUAUGACAUAGAACACCAAUUGCGAAGGCAGCUGGCUACACGAAUAUUGACACUGAUGCACGAAAGCGUGGGGAUCAAACAGG